CAAUAGCGUAUAUUAAAGUUGUUGCAGUUAGAACGCUCGUAGUCGGAUUUCGGGGCGGGUCGACCGGUCUGCCGAUGGGUACGCACUGGCCGACGCGUCCUUUUUGCCGGAGACCGUCCCUACUCUUAACUGAGCGGGGUCGGGAGACGGCACUUUUACUUUGAAAAAAUCAGAGUGUUUCAAGCAGGCAGCUCGCUCUUGCAUGGAUUAGCAUGGGAUAAUGAAAUAGGACUUUGGUGCUAUUUUGUUGGUUUCGAACACCGAAGUAAUGAUGAGAAGGGACAGUCAGGGGCACUCGUAUUCCGCCGAGAGAGGUGAAAUUCUCAGACCAGCGGAAGACGAACCACUGCGAAAGCAUUUGCCAGGGAUGUUUUCAUUGA
rnacentral:rRNA from 1 species